GCACUUUGGCAGGAAAAAAUAAAAAUGUAGAAGUUUCUCCAGAAUUAAAUUUGUAAAGAACAUUAUCUGAAGGACAUAAGAUCUUCACUAAGAAAGGAGAAAGUAUCCUCCAAUACCUAUUUCCUGGAGUGUUUUCUUAAAAUCACAAGUGAGUGUUGAAUUUUGUCAAAGCCGUCUUCAAUAUCUAUAAGUUGUCUUUGGUAUUCAUAUAAAAUAUCUAUAAUCACAUUCUUAUCAUCACCUCUUAUCACCACCACCUCAGCACCCACUCUGAGGAAGGCAGCUGCCAGGUGCUAGCGGCACUUGAGUGAUUCUCCAACUCCAAUCCAGCCUUCAGAUGACCACACUUGUUAACAUCUUGACUGCAACCUUGGUCUCACUAAGUUCUUGAAGGUCUCUCUGGAUUGCUAAGGCUGAACUUGAAAUCCUCCCUCUGACACCCAAGUCUCUGGCAUUACAGGCCUAGGCUCUAGCCUAAACUCCUGAACUCAAGUGAUCCUCCUGCCUCCUGAUCUUUAUUAGCUGGAACUACAUAUGCAUGCCAUCACAACUGGCUCUCAAACCCAUUUUCUUUUGGCUCAGGAAGUAAGUUGUAAAACUGAAAAAUCUUUCCAUAGAUUUCUCUUUAAAUAACUCUAUUUUAAAUGACUGUUUCAAUGCUUAGUUAUAUACAUUGGUACUGCCCAUA